AUCUGGGGCCGGGAGCCAAGUAGGGCGGUCCCCACAGCGCUGGGGAGCAGUAGGGGCUUUGGGUUCGUCUUCUCCUUUCUGAGCCCCGAGGGAACGCUGGAAGGAGGGCGGCACACGGGGCCGUGAGCAGAGCUCCGGGCCGAGCAGGGCUUUUGCUGAGCGCGCGGAGCCAUGCCGCCCUCACAGGUGGGAGAGCGCAGCUCUGCUUGCUUUGACUGUGUGCAGGCUCUGCUCGUAUCGCCCUGUACUCAGGAGAUAAAGGAGUUUGGUGUUUUUUUGUUGUUUUUUUUUUCCCUUAAAUCGGACAAAGUAGAGGAAAAACUUUUUUUUUUUUUGUCAGUUGUUCCACAUCCCUUCAUUUAAGGCAGUGUGUGGCAUGAGAAGCUCAGGAUGGAGUCUGUUCACCUGCCCUCCAUUCUUGGAUUCCUGCUUACCUUAGCCAUUGCUAUCUGUCCUAUCCCAAGUGCUGUUCUGUUGCACCCUCUUAAAAAUGUGACACCAAGAGAAGUUUCAGCCUUCACAUCUUGUAUUGAAGAGUCAGCGUGCUUCUUCCUCAGCCUCAGGAUGAAGUUCCAUACAUAAGAACGCGGUUAUCCCGUGCACAAUGCUCCAGCACAGUUUCCAAAUAGAGAUAGCAAAUCUGAGUUUGGAGACACCUUUACUUCAGUAUUUUAGAGCUGCAGAAUGAGGGAUUAUACCAUCCUGGCUUUGCAAGCACCAAGACCUGUAGAGAGCAGCUGGUGGCCAACAGGCUCUGCUUUGAGCAGGAAGCUUUAUUUCCUUCAUCCUGGAAUAUCCUUCUGGUUUGUCCCUCGUCAUGGAGUA